CCUCUGGUAGCUCAGUUGGUAGAGCGGUGGACUGUAGUUGGAGUGAAAGCUAUAAAAACAGAUAUCCAUAGGUCGCUGGUUCAAAUCCGGCCCGGAGGA
rnacentral:tRNA from 1 species